rnacentral:rRNA from 1 species
CAAAAACAUGUCUUUUUGAUUAUAAUUUAAAGUCUAACCUGCCCAAUGAUUAUUAAUUUAAUGGCCGCGGUAUUUUGACCGUGCUAAGGUAGCAUAAUAAUUAGUUUUUUAAUUGAGAACUAGAAUGAAUGGUUGGACAAAGAAAAUUCUGUCUCAAAUUUAAUUUAAUUAGAAUUUUAUUUUUAAGUAAAAAAGCUUAAAUAAUUUUAAAAGACGAGAAGACCCUAUAGAGUUUAAUAUUAUUUAAUAUAUGUAAUUUUAGGAAUUAUAAAUUUGAUAUAUUAAGUAUUAUUUUGUUGGGGUGACUAAAAAAUUUAAUAAACUUUUUUUAUCUAAGUUCAUUGAUUGAUGAUUUUGUGAUCCAUUAUUUAUGAUUAUAAGAUUAAAUUACCUUAGGGAUAACAGCGUAAUUUUUUUUAAGAGUUCUUAUCGAAAAAAAAGAUUGCGACCUCGAU